UGCAAAAAUGACUAGGAAUUCCCAUGCUUU
rnacentral:piRNA from 1 species